UACGUAGGGGGCAAGCGUUGUCCGGAAUCAUUGGGCGUAAAGAGCGUGUAGGCGGUUCGGUAAGUCGGCUGUGAAAGUCCAGGGCUCAACCCUGGGAUGCCGGUCGAUACUGCCGGACUAGAGUUCGGAAGGGGCAACUGGAAUUCUCGGUGUAGCGGUGAAAUGCGUAGAUAUCGAGAGGAACACCUGCGGCGAAGGCGGGUUGCUGGGCUGACACUGACGCUGAUGCGCGAAAGCUAGGGGAGCGAACGGG
rnacentral:rRNA from 1 species